rnacentral:rRNA from 1 species
GUACGCUGGCGGCACGCCUAACACAUGCAAGUCGAACGAAGUAGCAAUACUUAGUGGCAGACGGGUGAGUAACAUGUAGGUAUCUGCCCUUUGGCCUGGAAUAACACGAGGAAACUUGUGCUAAUACCGGAUAAGUCUUUACGGAGAAAGCUUUAUGCACCAUUGGAUGAGCCUGCACUUGAUUAGUUUGUUGGUGGGGUAAUGGCCUACCAAGACUGUGAUCAAUAGCUGAUUUGAGAGGAUGAUCAGCCACAUUGGGACUGAGACACGGCCCAAACUCCUACGGGAGGCAGCAGUGGGGAAUCUUGCACAAUGGAGGAAACUCUGAUGCAGCGAUGCCGCGUGAGUGAAGAAGGCCUUUGGGUUGUAAAGCUCUUUCGUCGGGGAAGAAAAUGACUGUACCCGAAUAAGAAGGUCCGGCUAACUUCGU